rnacentral:tRNA from 1 species
GUCUGCAUGGUGUAGUAGUUAGAGUGUUGGACUAUGACUCUGGAGACCAGGGUUCAAUUCCCAGCUCAGCCA